CCUACGGGAGGCAGCAGUGGGGAAUAUUGGGCAAUGGGCGCAAGCCUGACCCAGCAACGCCGCGUGAAGGAAGAAGGCUUUCGGGUUGUAAACUUCUUUUGUCAGGGACGAAGCAAGUGACGGUACCUGACGAAUAAGCCACGGCUAACUACGUGGCAGCAGCGGCGGUAAUACGUAUGUGGCAAGCGUUAUCCGGAUUGAUUGGGUGUAAAGGGCGUGUAGGCGGGAAUGGAAGUCAGAUGUGAAAACUAUGGGCUCAACCCAUAGCCUGCAUUUGAAACUGUAUUUCUUGAGUGCUGGAGAGGCAAUCGGAAUUCCGUGUGUAGCGGUGAAAUGCAUAGAUAUACGGAGGAACACCAGUGGCGAAGGCGGAUUGCUGGACAGUAACUGACGCUGAGGCGCGAAAGCGUGGGGAGCAAACAGGAUUAGAUACCCCUGUAGUC
rnacentral:rRNA from 1 species